rfam:Mycobacterium kumamotonense strain Roo Mkuma_contig000025, whole genome shotgun sequence.
CGAGUUGGCCGGGCGGCCGCGGCUCGCGUGAGCGGGUCGAGGAAAGUCCGGACUUCACAGAGCAGGGUGAUUGCUAACAGCAAUCCGAGGUGACUCGCGGGAUAGUGCCACAGAAAACAGACCGCCACCGUCAGGUGGUAAGGGUGAAACGGUGCGGUAAGAGCGCACCAGCGUCCCGGGUGACCGGGACGGCUCGGUAAACCCCACCCGAAGCAAGGCCAAGAAGGCCGCAUCUCGGUGCGGUCGCGCAGGCGCCUGAGGGCUGCUCGCUCGAGCCUGCGGGUAGGCCGCUUGAGGUACCCGGCGACGGUGUGCCCAGAUGGAUGGUCGCCGCCGCAUCGCAUCGCGGUGCGGAACAGAAUCCGGCUUACAGGCCAACUCGUCCG